GGCGGUUCUCAGUUGACACACCCCAGAAUUGGGCUCCCUUCUCUCUGGUUCCAGGGUGCAUCACCAAGAACCACC
rfam:Myotis lucifugus cont2.12254, whole genome shotgun sequence.